CAAUCAGUAAAGCUACAGUGUAUCAGGUUACUGUUAUUCUUUAUAGUUCUUCGGUUUUGUUAUGACCAAGUUUGUGGAUCUUAUCGCCUGCAACACUGGGGGUGUAUCUUGGAGCCACCGUGACGGUGACUGCAUGAGCUGGUUAUGUCCGACGUUACAUAACAGGGAACAAGUUGCAGUCUAUUCUAUUGGUCAUGUCAUCUGCAACGGAGGUGUAUUGGAGUCUUUUCUUGUGAUUGCAUUAUAGAGGUGGUAACAACAGGUGCCACUUCUGCUUUGACGCUUCUACUGUAGAAAACAACGGUUUGCACCCGGUGCAGACAGUGUGCGGCUGACAGCGA